GACGAACGCUGGCGGCGUGCUUAACACAUGCAAGUCGAACGGAAAGGCCCUGCUUUUGUGGGGUGCUCGAGUGGCGAACGGGUGAGUAACACGUGAGUAACCUGCCCUUGACUUUGGGAUAACUUCAGGAAACUGGGGCUAAUACCGGAUAGGAGCUCCUGCUGCAUGGUGGUGGUUGGAAAGUUUCGGCGGUUGGGGAUGGACUCGCGGCUUAUCAGCUUGUUGGUGUGGUAGUGGCUUACCAAGGCUUUGACGGGUAGCCGGCCUGAGAGGGUGACCGGCCACAUUGGGACUGAGAUACGGCCCAGACUCCUACGGGAGGCAGAAGUGGGGAAUAUUGCACAAUGGGCGGAAGCCUGAUGCAGCAACGCCGCGUGCGGGAUGACGGCCUUCGGGUUGUAAACCGCUUUCGCCUGUGACGAAGCGUGAGUGGCGGUAAUGGGUAAAGAAGCACCGGCUAACUACGUG
rnacentral:rRNA from 1 species